rnacentral:lncRNA from 1 species
AUGUAUAUACUUGUGCAGUAUGUUCAUGUGGGACCUGUCCUAUCGGUUUGUAAAGAAGCGGAUACAGUUUGGUCAUUGUUUGGUCUUGUAGGGAGCGAGAACGGCGGGAAAAAGAGCGAGAUGAAUGGGAGAGACAAUAUGAACGUCAGAGUCACUCGCCCUCCCCCAAUGCCAAAUACGGUCGGGACUACAGCUCAUCCAGAAGGAGAUCACGCUCAAGAUCACGGAGUCCUCAUUACCGGUACUGAAGAAUCGGCUGAUAAAACAGUCAAGCCCAUAAGACGGCAAACAGAAUGGUGA